UGGAAGUAAAAGUCGUAACAAGGUUUCCGUAGGUGAACCUGCGGAAGGAUCAUUACCAGUGCCGCCGGCGUCGGCGUCCGGGCCUUUAGGGGUCUCCGGGCGUCCGUCGGUCUGAGCCCCACCCGUGAACACCGAACCUCACGUUGCUUUGGCGGGUCCGCCGCGGAGUCUUCCGCGGCCGCCGGGGGUGCCGGGGCGCGCCUGCGCGCUCCGAUCCCGGGCCCGCGCCCGCCAACGGAAAACAAGUGAACUUCUGAUCGAAUGGACCGUCUGAGUGAUUUCUAAAUCAUUAAAACUUUCAACAACGGAUCUCUUGGUUCCGGCAUCGAUGAAGAACGCAGCGAAAUGCGAUAAGUAGUGUGAAUUGCAGAAUUCCGUGAAUCAUCGAAUCUUUGAACGCACAUUGCGCCCUCUGGUAUUCCGGGGGGCAUGCCUGUCCGAGCGUCAUUGCAACCCUCAAGCGCGGCUUGUGUGUUGGGUCAUGCAGUGUCCCCGUUCGCGGGGACAGGCCCCAAAGGCAGUGGCGGCGUUCCGACGCAGGUGCCUGAGUGAAUGGGAAAUAACCAAUCCGCUCAAGAGGCCCGGUCGGCGCCUGCCGGUCAACUUUUCUUUUAUCGGUUGACCUCGGAUCAGGUAGGAAUACCCGCUGAACUUAAGCAUAUCAAUAAGCGGAGGA
rnacentral:rRNA from 1 species